CUGGGCGUAAAGCGAGCGCAGACGGUUACUUAAGCAGGAUGUGAAAUCCCCGGGCUUAACCUGGGAACUGCGUUCUGAACUGGGUGACUAGAGUGUGUCAGAGGGAGGUAGAAUUCCACGUGUAGCAGUGAAAUGCGUAGAGAUGUGGAGGAAUACCGAUGGCGAAGGCAGCCUCCUGGGAUAACACUGACGUUCAUGCUCGAAAGCGUGGGUAGCAAACAGGAUUAGAUACCCUGGUAGUCCACGCCCUAAACGAUGUCAAUUAGCUGUUGGGCAACUUGAUUGCUUAGUAGCGUAGCUAACGCGUGAAAUUGACCGCCUGGGGAGUACGGUCGCAAGAUUAAAACUCAAAGGAAUUGACGGGGACCCGCACAAGCGGUGGAUGAUGUGGAUUAAUUCGAUGCAACGCGAAGAACCUUACCUGGUCUUGACAUGUACGGAAUCCUCCAGAGACGGAGGAGUGCCUUCGGGAGCCGUAACACAGGUGCUGCAUGGCUGUCGUCAGCUCGUGUCGUGAG
rnacentral:rRNA from 1 species